AUUGAACGCUGGCGGCAGGCCUAACACAUGCAAGUCGAACGGUAACAGGAAGAAGCUUGCUUCUUUGCUGACGAGUGGCGGACGGGUGAGUAAUGUCUGGGAAACUGCCUGAUGGAGGGGGAUAACUACUGGAAACGGUAGCUAAUACCGCAUAACGUCGCAAGACCAAAGAGGGGGACCUUCGGGCCUCUUGCCAUCGGAUGUGCCCAGAUGGGAUUAGCUAGUAGGGGGGGUAACGGCUCACCUAGGCGACGAUCCCUAGCGGGUCUGAGAGGAUGACCAGCCACACUGGAACUGAGACACGGUCCAGACUCCUACGGGAGGCAGCAGUGGGGAAUAUUGCACAAUGGGCGCAAUCCUGAUGCAGCCAUGCCGCGUGUAUGAAGAAGGCCUUCGGGUUGUAAAGUACUUUAAGCGGGGAGGAAGGGAGUAAAGUUAAUACCUUUGCUCAUUGACGUUACCCGCAGAAGAAGCACCGGCUAACUCCGUG
rnacentral:rRNA from 1 species